CGCAUCUGUGCAUGCAGCAUAUCAAUAAGCGGAGGAAAAGAAACUAACAAGGAUUCCCUUAGUAACGGCGAGUGAAGCGGGAAGAGCUCAAAUUUGAAAUCUUCAAGGUUUUACCUUGACGAAUUGUAGUUUAAAGAAGUGUUUUCUGUUGAAGUUUUGAUAAAAGUUCUUUGGAAUAGGACAUCAUAGAGGGUGAGAAUCCCGUAUUUGACCAUUAUUUUCAGCUGUGUGAUACACUUUCAAAGAGUCGAAUUGUUUGGGAAUGCAGUCCAAAAUGGGUGGUAAAUUUCAUCUAAAGCUAAAUAUUGGCGAGAGACCGAUAGCGAACAAGUACCGUGAGGGAAAGAUGAAAAGAACUUUGAAAAGAGAGUUAAACAGUACGUGAAAUUGUCAAAAGGGAAGCGUUUGACACCAGUGUUGUUUUCUCGAAAAUCAACUAAAAAGAGUUAGAUUUUGUUGUGUAUUGACCUUAACAGCUUGCAUUUCAAUUUUCUUGCUUUUUUUAAUGCACUUUUCGUUUAACAAGUCAACAUCAGUUUCUUUUGUUGUAAAAAGGUCAUUGGAAGGUGGCUUUCUUUUCGGAGAAAGUGUUUAUAGCCUUUGACUCCUGCAAUCGGAGAGACUGAGGUCUGCAGCGUAGAUCCUUCGGGGUUAGAUACAUUUGUGCUAAGCUACAGCUUUUCAUAGACAACUUGUUGACUAUGAUUUAGUCUUGUAGCUUACCUCGCUUAUGCUAUUUUACCUACGCUUAGGAUGUUGACGCGCGUGUGUGCGUG
rnacentral:rRNA from 1 species